rnacentral:tmRNA from 1 species
GAUCUUGAAACUUCGCCGCACCCAGCUUACAUUUCAUCUGCCGGCUUAGCGGCCGGAUAUGGUGAUAAAUGUUGCCGUGAAAUAGGUUGCAUGGACCCGGGGGCGGUACCCGGCGGCUCCACCAAAAGGCGCCCGCACGAUAGCAGGGCGCCUCCUGAUGGGGCCGAAACAGCUUCGACAUGUGCUGAAAGACGGUGAUUUUGCCCGGCCUGAGGACGCCGUAAAACUGUUCAAACUCUAUAGAUGCCAACGAUAACGAGGCAUUUGCGAUUGCUGCGUAACUGAUGGCCUAACGGCUAAGGUUACUUAGACAAAAGCGGGGUUCGGGGCGCACCUUUCAACAGAAGCGCCAGUCC